UUUCUCAUGCAACAUCGCUUAAUCAACAAAGAAAUGGAAAACAAGACCACACAUACGAUUCUAUUUGAAAAAGGAAACAAAUGGGCCGAAUAAAUAUUAAUGGGCCUGAUUAAAUGGGCACUAUAUCCAAUUAAACUAUGCUAAACAGAAACGUUAUCUUUUCGAAUAACACACAAACUCAACGUUGCCAGUGAAGUUCGCCGUCGCCGGAGCUCAUGGAUCGACCACCGUCGUUUACACCCUAUCAAAAUUCUAAUCCGAAAUUCUUCAACCACGCUUCUCCUUUUCAAAAUCCUAACAAUUUUACUCCAUCGCUCCGGCGCCGAUUCACGAGCUCUCCGAUUUUUAUGAGACUAGGCCACUCAGUACAGAGAAGAAAUGAAUGCACUUGGGCAUAGAAAUGUUACAUCUGAACCACCUAGUGCUUCUGCUGCAAUGUCAUCUUCAAAAGCUAUUAGUAAGCCAAAACUGUCCCAAGGUUCAAAUAUGCAGUGGAUUAAAAAAGUCAUCUAAAGUCGUCAAAAAUGUCUCAACCUUCCACUUCUAUCGAUGAGAUGAGCUUCUCUUAUGAGUUGUUUGUGAAACUUUAUUGUGAUAGAGUAGAAUUACAGCCAUUUGGCCUUGUGAACUUAUGGAACAGGUACAUCAUUGACGAGGAUGAAGAAAGGCACAACUUUGGACACAAAGGAGGUAACAAGGCCUGAAGCUUAUUUAAGCCAUAUUUUUUUGCCUAUACAUUCAUACAGCACAAAAAAGAGAAAUUUUAACUGAAUAUAAGAUUCUGCGAGCCAUCAAUUGGUUGGUCUCACUUGCUUCAAAAAAGCUGCUUACUUAAGAGUUUCUAUUCAUUUGCUGAGUUGGUUAUCAUCUGGUUAGGACGUUUAACUUGGUC